UCAAAACAGCGGACUUCGGUCUUUGCUGCACCCUUGUCUUUUGCGCACCGAAUCGUUUCCUCGGCGGGCUUGCCUGCCGGUUGGACAUUAUCAAAACCUUUUUGUAGUUGCAAUCAGCGUCAGAAAAAUCAUAAUUAUUA
rnacentral:misc_RNA from 1 species